UUCUCAGCCCUUCUUUUCCUUCUCCUCCCAGGGUCCAUGUUUUCACAAGCAAUGAAGAAAUGGGUGCAAGGAAAUACAGAUGAGGCCCAAGAGGAGAUGGCGUGGAGGAUAGCCAAGAUGAUCGUCAAUGACGUCAUGCAACAGGCCCAACCCCCGGAGGCAGCGCUCGAAAAGGUGACUAAGCUAUGAUCUUCAGGAGCUUC